UACGUAGGGAGCAAGCGUUGUCCGGAAUCAUUGGGCGUAAAGCGCGCGUAGGUGGUCCCGUAAGUCCGCUGUGAAAAGUCAAAGGCUCAACCUUUGAAAGCCGGUGGAUACUGUGGGACUAGAGUACGGAAGAGGCGAGUGGAAUUCCUGGUGUAGCGGUGGAAUGCGCAGAUAUCAGGAGGAACACCAAUAGCGAAGGCAGCUCGCUGGGACGGUAUUGACGCUAAGGCGCGAAAGCGUGGGGAGCAAACAGG
rnacentral:rRNA from 1 species